GUGAGGAAUUUUCCGCAAUGGGCGAAAGCCUGACGGAGCAAUGCCGCGUGAAGGAUGAAGGCCUAUGGGUUGUAAACUUCUUUUCUCAGAAAAGAAUUAUGACGGUAUCUGAGGAAUAAGCAUCGGCUAACUCUGUGCCAGCAGCCGCGGUAAGAAGGAGGAGGCAAGCGUUAUCGGGAAGGAUUGGGCGUAAAGCGUCUGUAGGUUGUUUAAAAAGUAUUCUGUCAAAGAUUAGGGCUUAACCCUAGAUAGGCAGAAUAAACUUUUAAGCUAGAGUUUGGUAGAGGCAGAGGGAAUUCCCGGUGGAGCGGUGAAAUGCGUAGAUAUCGGGAGGAACACCAAAGGCGAAGGCACUCUGCUGGGCCAAUACUAACACUGAGAGACGAAAGCGAGGGGAGCAAAUGGGAUUAGAAACCCGAGUAGUCC
rnacentral:rRNA from 1 species